GAGAGCCGGAACUGUUUCAGAGUGUGGUGAGAGAUUGUGACUGAAGCAGUCUCUGGACACUCUCCUUGCAAGUAAAACUUUAUUGACUCUGUCUGUGUCUUUCCUUACAGUUCAGUUCUACAAAUGUUUGGUGUCUAAACCUGACACAAUCCUUCUGCCAUUCGACUCAUUUUACCCUCUGCUAUGAAAAUCCAUCCUACUUUUCAUGUUUCACAAAUUAAACCUGUUUCUGAAAGUCCUCUGUGCCCUCCUACCAUCGCCUCUCCACCCACCCGGCUCAUCGAUAACCACCCUGCGUACACUGUGAGGCGCAUUCUGGAUGUUCGGCGCCGUGGGCGUGGUUUUCAAUAUUUGUUGGACUGGGAAGGUUACGGACCAGAGGAACGCUCAUGGAUCCCCAGAUCCUUUAUCCUGGAUGCCUCCCUCAUCUCUAACUUCUACAAGGACCACCCAGAGAAGCGCCCCAAAUCGCCUGGAGGCGAUGUUUGAGGAGGGGUACCGAGGCAUUCAGUGUUUUUCAUGUUCUCACCUGUUUGGUUCCUGAUUGGCUAGCACAUCCAAGUGGCUGCAGCUGUUACUAAUCUGGCUCAUCACUGUUGGCUUCAUAAGGAGGACCUGAAGAUCAGUUCUUCGCUGAUGCAUCGUUUACCUUUGGUAUGAUUCUCAGCCCCUCUUAAGAGUUUUUUUUCUUAGAGUUUUUAUAAUCCUGUUCUUUGUGUUCAGAUGCAUUUUGAUAUCUACCUGGACGAUCUUCCACUUGUAAUCAUGAAGCCCCUGAAAGAGAGCCACUCACCUGUCCUCGUGCUGCACUGCCUGUCUGCCUCUAACUGGAAACAACACCACUUACCUCAGAGAACCUCCUCUCACCUGGAAACCUUGGACCUACUCCUCAGUGCUGAGCCUUCACCUCCCUCCUGACUGAACCCCAAAACCCCAUCACCUGUAAAUAAAAGCACUUUUUUAUUCUGUCUCUUGGUCUGUUUGUCAUUGCAUUGCUCAAAACUUUGACUAAAACCUCGUACCUGAUAGGGCCUGUCACACUAGACAAUUUAUGCCAACUUAUGAAACAAUUUCUGUCUAAAUUGCUAAUAAAAGUUGCAUAAUUUUUUUUAGAAUUACAGGAUGUACACACCGAAACAAAACUUCCUGAUUUUUUUUUUUCAAUUCCAGCUUCAACAUAGACAUCUUUAAAAUGUUCAUAAGUUUUGUAGUAAGACAGGGCCUUGUUGAUUUUGCAGUUUUGUUGCAUUCAAAAUAAUAUUUAAAUUAAUAUAUCACAGGUAAUCCUCUGCUCAGAACAAAAUUGCUUUAAACUGCAUUUUUCUUGAUGUGCUGCAUUGAGUGACGUCUGUCUUUUAAAUAGUUUUUGUAGUAAUAUGUUGGUAUUAUCAACACAUAAGCAAACAUGUGUGUGUGUAUGCUUCUGCUAAUCAGUAUAUUACAAUCACACUGUCUCAAAACGUUAUCUUUAAUCUUGUUGGUUUUAUUUUGUUGGUU